rnacentral:rRNA from 1 species
GUUGUAUGGUUAAGUGACUAAGCGUACACGGUGGAUGCCUGGGCAGUCAGAGGCGAUGAAGGACGUACUAACUUGCGAUAAGCGCAGAUAAGGCAGUAAGAGCCGUUUGAGUCUGCGAUUUCCGAAUGGGGAAACCCAACUGCAUAAGCAGUUACUGUUAACUGAAUACAUAGGUUAACAGAGCAAACCGGGGGAACUGAAACAUCUAAGUACCCCGAGGAGAAGAAAUCAACCGAGAUUCCGGUAGUAGCGGCGAGCGAACCUGGAUUAGCCCUUAAGCACUCGGUGAAGUAGGUGAACAAGCUGGAAAGCUUGGCGAUACAGGGUGAUAGCCCCGUAACCGACGCUUCAUCGAGCGUGAAAUCGAGUAGGGCGGGACACGUGAUAUCCUGUCUGAAUAUGGGGGGACCAUCCUCCAAGGCUAAAUACUCCUGACUGACCGAUAGUGAACCAGUACCGUGAGGGAAAGGCGAAAAGAACCCCUGUGAGGGGAGUGAAAUAGAACCUGAAACCGUGUACGUACAAGCAGUAGGAGCACCUUCGUGGUGUGACUGCGUACCUUUUGUAUAAUGGGUCAGCGACUUAUAUUCAGUGGCAAGGUUAACCGUAUAGGGGAGCCGUAGCGAAAGCGAGUCUUAACUGGGCGCUCAGUCUCUGGAUAUAGACCCGAAACCGGGUGAUCUA